ACUCAAAGGAAUUGACGGGGGCCCGCACAAGCGGUGGAGCAUGUGGUUUAAUUCGAUGCAACGCGAAGAACCUUACCUACUCUUGACAUCCUUCGAAUCUGGCUGAGAAGCUGGAGUGCCGAAAGGAACGAAGAGACAGGUGCUGCAUGGCUGUCGUCAGCUCGUGUCGUGAGAUGUUGGGUUAAGUCCCAUAACGAGCGCAACCCUUGUCCUUAGUUGCUAACAGGUUAAGCUGAGAACUUUAAGGAGACUGCCGGUGAUAAAUCGGAGGAAGGUGGGGACGACGUCAAGUCAUCAUGGCCCUUACGAGUAGGGCUACACACGUGCUACAAUGGACGGUACAGAGGGUUGCCAACCUGUGAAGGGGAGCUAAUCUCAGAAAGCCGUUCGUAGUCCGGAUUGAAGUCUGCAACUCGACUUCAUGAAGUUGGAAUCGCUAGUAAUCGCGAAUCAGAAUGUCGCGGUGAAUAUGUUCCCGGGCCUUGCACACACCGCCCGU
rnacentral:rRNA from 1 species